GACUGAGGGUGCAAACGUUGUUCGGAAUUACUGGGCGUAAAGCGCGUGUAGGCGGCUCUGCAAGUCGGAUGUGAAAUCCCACGGCUCAACCAUGGAAGUGCAUUCGAAACUGCAGGGCUAGAGUCCUGGAGAGGAAGGUGGAAUGCUUGGUGUAGAGGUGAAAUUCGUAGAUAUCAAGCGGAACACCGGUGGCGAAGGCGGCCUUCUGGACAGUGACUGACGCUGAGACGCGAAAGCGUGGGGAGCAAACAGG
rnacentral:rRNA from 1 species